rnacentral:rRNA from 1 species
GUAUUUCGGUACGUAAAGUUCUUUUAUUAGGGAAGAAAAGAUGGUGGAAAAACCAUUAUGACGGUACCUAAUGAAUAAGCCCCGGCUAACUAUGUGCCAGCAGCCGCGGUAAUACAUAGGGGGCAAGCGUUAUCCGGAAUUAUUGGGCGUAAAGGGUGCGUAGGCGGUUAAAUAAGUUUAUGGUCUAAGUGCAAUGCUUAACGUUGUGAUGCUAUAAAAACUGUUUAGCUAGAGUUGGAUAGAGGCAAGUGGAAUUCCAUGUGUAGUGGUAAAAUGCGUAAAUAUAUGGAGGAACACCAGAAGCGAAGGCGGCUUGCUGGGUCUUAACUGACGCUGAGGCACGAAAGCGUGGGGAGCAAACAGGAUUAGAUACCCUGGUAGUCCACGCCCUAAACGAUGAGUACUAAACAUUGGGUAAAACCAGUGUUGAAGUUAACACAUUAAGUACUCCGCCUGAGUAGUACGUACGCAAGUAUGAAACUUAAAGGAAUUGACGGGACUCCGCACAAGCGGUGGAUCAUGUUGUUUAAUUCGAAGGUACCCGAAAAACCUCACCAGGUCUUGACAUGCUUUUGCAAAGCGGUAGAAAUAUCGUGGAGGUUAUCAGAAGCACAGGUGGUGCAUGGUUGUCGUCAGCUCGUGUCGUGAGAUGUUGGGUUAAGUCCCGCAACGAGCGCAACCCUUGUUGUUAAUUGCCAUCAUUAAGUUGGGGACUUUAGCAAGACUGCCAGUGAUAAAUUGGAGGAAGGUGGGGACGACGUCAAAUCAUCAUGCCCCUUAUGACCUGGGCUACAAACGUGAUACAAUGGCUGUUACAAAGGGCAGCUAAAGCGUAAGCUU